GAUGAACGCUGGCGGCGUGCCUAAUACAUGCAAGUCGAGCGAACCACUUCGGUGGUGAGCGGCGAACGGGUGAGUAACACGUAGGUGAUCUGCCCAUCAGACGGGGACAACGAUUGGAAACGAUCGCUAAUACCGGAUAGGACGAAAGUUUAAAGGUGCUUCUGGCACCGCUGAUAGAUGAGCCUGCGGCGCAUUAGCUAGUCGGUAGGGUAAAGGCCUACCAAGGCGACGAUGCGUAGCCGACCUGAGAGGGUGAACGGCCACACUGGGACUGAGACACGGCCCAGACUCCUACGGGAGGCAGCAGUAGGGAAUCUUCGGCAAUGGGCGAAAGCCUGACCGAGCAACGCCGCGUGAAUGAUGAAGGCCUUCGGGUUGUAAAAUUCUGUUAUAAGGGAAGAACGACUUUAGUAGGAAAUGGCUAGAGUGUGACGGUACCUUAUGAGAAAGCCACGGCUAACUACGUGCCAGCAGCCGCCGUAA
rnacentral:rRNA from 1 species